UUUUCCUCCCAUCUUUCCUAACUACUUCGCCUCUCCAUCCUGGCGGCGACUCACGACCUCCCCAUCAACUUCUCCGUCUAGGACAAAGAUGGCUCCAGGGGGGAAGGGAUCACGAUGCAGAAUGGAACUCUCAGCAGAGAGAUUCCUGCAAAUAAAGUUAGGACUACAUCGCCAGUGUCAUUAUGACUGAUGAUCAAUGGAGGGAUUUGGUACAAAUGUGGUCUACCCCAAACCAUAAGGAAUUAUGUUGAAAAGUUUAGCUCCCUGUAAAGUAUUCUACAGAAGUUGUUUCCAAUGUGGUGUUGGUUUCAAGUAAAUUUCUUCGCAAUGCUGGUCUUGUGUCCUCCAAGAGAAGCAACAUAAGGACAGUUUCAACAAUGAUGCAAGAGAUUUAGUCUCAAUUGGACACUGAGAGACAAGAAAAGAUGGACUUUGAGAAGAAAUGAAAACCUUAAAGGCCAAGUCACAAGCAUCCGAGGCAACCAUUGCUAAUCAAUCUACUGAAAUUGCAGAUUUGAAGAAGUCCUUAGCAGAAAAUACCAGUAUUCUUCGACAAAGAUUAAGUAUCAGUCGUAGUCAGAUGACUCCUUAAGUAUGCUUGCCAAGGUGUUGGUGUCAACCAUCCUGAAGAUCCAUCUCACAGAACUUUGCACCUCUUUUUAUCCUUAUGCUUGUUGUAUAGAACUACAACUUCUGGCUAUUAUAUGUGUUCUCUUAAUAUUUGUUAGGUUAAAGGAUUAUGAACCAUGUUCUUUUAUGUGAUUGACAUAUUAUGCUUG